ACGGACCGGCAAGGAAGGAAAUCUGACCGAGCAACGCCGCGUGAACGACGAAGUACUUUGGUAUGUAAAGUUCUUUUAUCAAGGAAGAAAAGCAAGUGGCGAACCAUUUGUUUGCCGGUACUUGAUGAAUAAGCCCCGGCUAAUUAUGUGCCAGCAGCCGCGGUAAGACAUAAGGGGCAAGUGUUAUCCGGAAUUAUUGGGCGUAAAGGGUGCGUAGGCGGUCUAGUAAGUCAGUGGUGUAAUGGCAACGCUCAACGUUGUCCGGCUAUUGAAACUGCUAAACUUGAGUUAGAUAGAGGCGAGUGGAAUUCCAUGUGUAGCGGUAAAAUGCGUAAAUAUAUGGAGGAACACCAGAGGCGUAGGCGGCUCGCUGGGUCUUAACUGACGCUGAGGCACGAAAGCGUGGGGAGCAAACAGGAUUAGAUACCCUGGUAGUCCACGCCGUAAACGAUGAGUACUAAGUGUCGGGUUAAACCGGUACUGAAGUUAACACAUUAAGUACUCCGCCUGAGUAGUACGUACGCAAGUAUGAAACUUAAAGGAAUUGACGGGACUCCGCACAAGCGGUGGAUCAUGUUGUUUAAUUCGAAGAUACCCGAAAAACCUUACCAGGUCUUGACAUGUUUUUGCGAAACGGUAGUAAUAUCGUAGAGGUUAUCAGAAACACAGGUGGUGCAUGGUUGUCGUCAGCUCGUGUCGUGAGAUGUUAGGUUAAGUCCUAAAACGAGCGAAACCCUUAUCGUUAGUUGCCAGCACGUUAUGGUGGGGACUUUAACGAGACUGCCAGUGAUAAACUGGAGGAAGGUGAGGAUCACGUCAAAUCAGCAUGCCCCUUAUCACCUGGGCUACCAAUCUUCCAACACAGGUGGUGCAUGGUUGUCGUCAGCUCGUGUCGUGAGAUGUUAGGUUAAGUCCUAAAACGAGCGAAACCCUUAUCGUUAGUUGCCAGCACGUUAUGGUGGGGACUUUAACGAGACUGCCAGUGAUAAACUGGAGGAAGGUGAGGAUCACGUCAAAUCAGCAUGCCCCUUAUGACCUGGGCUACAAACGUGAUACAAUGGCUGUUACAAAGGGUAGCUGAAACGUAAGUUCUUGGCCAAUCCCCAAAAACAGUCUCAGUCCGGAUUGAAGUCUGCAACUCGACUUCAUGAAGUUGGAAUCGCUAGUAAUCGCGAAUCAGCAGCGCGUACCCACCAGUAUCUGUCC
rnacentral:rRNA from 1 species